GCAAAUGGUCAAACUGUUUCCCUGCUGUUCAUAAAAACAUACUUUUUAUAAGCAACACUUGUCAAUAGGAACGACUGCUACUCCAGACUCAUCCAAACCUCAAGCAAACAAAGAAAACAAGGAACAAAAAUGCCAACCAAUACCAAGUUCCUUAGUGUGUUGUUCAAAAGGCGGGGAAUUGGGAUCCUCUGGCCGGGGUGUGUUAAAGUCCCUGAAAUGUGUAAAUUUUCGCUCCUAGCUGCCUGCCUCAUCUACCAAGUCCGGUGUUUGGCCUGGGAAAUGACCCUGGUCUGAACUCAGUGCUGAGUAAGCGAAAUGCUGGAGUUAUCGAUCCGUCCUGUCCCGUCCCGCCCCGCCCCAUCCCGUCCCGUCGUGGGAACCCUGCUCCAACUGCUCCUGCUGCACCGGCUACUUCCACCUCCCACCCACCGGGAGCUGAGCUCCGCAAUCCUCCAAGUUCAGGCUUAAGCACCCCCUGCCUCCUGGGGACACCCCUGGGCCCCCCAGACCUCCUCGGAGGCUGACAUGGUGAGAGGAUUGUGUCCUAGAGCCCACUGGAAAGCAGUCGGAGCUCCUCCUUCCUUCUGCUGAAGAAGUCUGGCUGUGCUCUUGCAUUCAGAAGCCAACAAGGCCGAAUCUCAAGAACUAGAUUGGUGGAAAUGCUGACUCAGAAACUAGCAGCCAAGCGUCUGUGUAGCCGCUGACUUCUCCAUUCCCCGGAGAAAUAAGAACUCUGAAUGAUGCGGGUGAAUGCAGAAAAUCGCUCCACGGAAAAGCAGCAAGCGAGAAGCAAGAGUGCAUAUGACGAAAGAAAGGCCCUGCUUGCACUGAAAGAGGCCAAAUGGAAUAUUUAAUGGAUUUAAAUAAAUGGAGUAACUUGACAUGCUCAGGGACUGGACGACAGAACUGAUAAGAUGCAC